rnacentral:rRNA from 1 species
AGUGAACGCUGGCGGUAGGCCUAACACAUGCAAGUCGAACGGCAGCACAGGAGAGCUUGCUCUCUGGGUGGCGAGUGGCGGACGGGUGAGGAAUACAUCGGAAUCUACUUUUUCGUGGGGGAUAACGUAGGGAAACUUACGCUAAUACCGCAUACGACCUACGGGUGAAAGCAGGGGGUCUUCGGACCUUGCGCGAUUGAAUGAGCCGAGGUCGGAUUAGCUAGUUGGGGGGGUAAAGGCCCACCAAGGCGACGAUCCGUAGCUGGUCUGAGAGGAUGAUCAGCCACACUGGAACUGAGACACGGUCCAGACUCCUACGGGAGGCAGCAGUGGGGAAUAUUGGACAAUGGGCGCAAGCCUGAUCCAGCCAUACCGCGUGGGUGAAGAAGGCCUUCGGGUUGUAAAGCCCUUUUGUUGGGAAAGAAAUCCAGCUGGCUAAUACCCGGUUGGGAUGACGGUACCCAAAGAAUAAGCACCGGCUAACUUCGUGCCAGCAGCCGCCGUAA